UACAGAGGUCUCAAGCGUUGUUCGGAUUCAUUGGGCGUAAAGGGUGCGUAGGUGGCGCCGUAAGUCGGGUGUGAAAUUUCGGAGCUUAACUCCGAAACUGCAUUCGAUACUGCGGUGCUUGAGGACUGGAGAGGAGACUGGAAUUCAUGGUGUAGCAGUGAAAUGCGUAGAGAUCAUGAGGAAGACCAGUGGCGAAGGCGGCUACCUGGACCAGCACUGACACUGAAGCACGAAAGCGUGGGGAGCAAACAGG
rnacentral:rRNA from 1 species